AAUCAACGCUGGCGGCGUGCCUCAGACAUGCAAGUCGAACGAUUAAAGCUCUCUUCGGAGAGUGCAUAGAGUGGCGCACGGGUGAGUAACACGUAAGUAAUCUACCUUCGAGUGGGGAAUAACGUCCGGAAACGGACGCUAAUACCGCAUAAUGCAGCGGCAUCGCAAGAUGACAGGUGUUAAAGAUUUAUCGCUUGAAGAGGAGCUUGCGGCAGAUUAGCUAGUUGGUAAGGUAAUGGCUUACCAAGGCUACGAUCUGUAACCGGUCUUAGAGGACGGUCGGUCACACUGACACUGAAUAACGGGUCAGACUCCUACGGGAGGCAGCAGUCGGGAAUUUUGGGCAAUGGGCGAAAGCCUGACCCAGCAACGCCGCGUGAAGGAUGAAGUAUUUCGGUAUGUAAACUUCGAAAGAAUGGGAAGAAUAAAUGACGGUACCAUUUAUAAGGUCCGGCUAACUACGUGCCAGCAGCCGCCGUAAGAC
rnacentral:rRNA from 1 species